rnacentral:siRNA from 1 species
GUCUAUAUCAGAUCAGAACA